rnacentral:lncRNA from 1 species
CACGUGGAGAUUUUGAAAGUGGGUGGCCUCCGCGGCGGCUUCAAAAUGACCUUUCCUCAAUCUGCGGAGCUCGCUUUCCAUCUUCUUUGACUUCUUUGUCAAGUGAAGGACUUCCUUCUUCAGCCGCUGGAUCGUCGACUUCAGCGGGACCCCCAGGGGCAGGGGAAGUGCUUCUGCAGGACACUGCCAUCGGAAGGCAAGGGCAUCAAAGCACGACUCAUCGC